rnacentral:misc_RNA from 1 species
GAGGAGGCGCUGCCGCUCGACGCCUGGGUCCCCGGCGACGACAUCAUCCCGGUGUGCAAGGCCGUUCUCGAGGCGUACCGCGACCUCGGCACCAGGGGCAACCGCCAGAAGACCCGCAUGAUGUGGCUCAUCGACGAACUUGGAAUGGAGGCUUUUCGGUCGGAGGUGGAGAAGAGGAUGCCGAACGGCGUGCUGGAGCGCGCGGCGCCGGAGGACCUCAUCGACAAGAAAUGGCAGAGGAGGGACUACCUCGGCGUGCACCCGCAGAAGCAGGAAGG